ACAGCGACUGUCUCCAUCCAGAGCACCUGAAGCAGGUGCUGAGCCUCGUGCUGCUGCCUUAUGUGAGGAGUGGACCCUUUUCAUUAUAACCGUGCCAAACUGGAAUGGUUGAGCGUAUUUUUCAAAUGAGGACACUCUCUGACAGCACAUAAACUCAUCCUUCUGCUUAUCCACCAGGCCUGUGUUCCAAGACCAGCAGCAGAUGUGGGUCUGAAAUGGAGUGGAAUAUGGCUUCCUGCACCUAGUGACGGUUGAGGAAACUUGAAUUUGGUGUCAUGGCGAAGCCUCGAGGCCCUGAGGAGACCCCAUCUUCAGAACCAAUGGAAGAAGAGGAAGAAAAGGACUUGGAGCUCUUGGGGGGCUAUGAUAGUUUCUGGAGUUACAACAGCAAUGUAGGCAGCAGGAGCAGCUCCUAUCUGGAGGAGUCAAGUGAAGCAGAAAAUGAUUGGGAUUUGGGGGAUCUGCCCCCCCAACAUUUGCUCAGCCCUGAGAACUCACGCUCCUUGGAUGGCAGUGGUUCUGAGCCAGGUGCCUUCAUAGUGUCCUUGAAGAUGGAGCGGAGUCAGGAGGCUGUGGAACAGGGAAAUGGACGGAAACAGGCAAUGUGGGCAGAGCCAUCCAGAUGUCUAAGGGUCUGGCUACCAGGGUCGUUUGCUCUGUACAGUCUGGUUUCAAAGUAGAAUUCCACUCAUUCUCCCAUUUAGUACAUGUUAGAUGCCAGUCAGCUGUUAGGGAAAGAGGAAUUUACUGCUUGUUUGAACAUACUGCUUGUCUGAAUUUAUUGCUUGAAUUUACUUGUUUAAAUUUACUGCUUGUAACCAAUUAACUCAACUGGAGACACAGGCAUCCAGAGAUAGAGGCAAAGUGCUACAGCCUCCGGAGCCUGACCUAUUCUGUGUCAUGUCAUGUAGACAUGUCUGCUUACACAAGAUAACAAGAAAGACUCGUAGCAGG